CGGUUGAUCCUGCCGGAAGUCACUGCUAUCGGGGUUCGAUUAAGCCAUGCGAGUCGAGAGGGUUCAGACCCUCGGCGGACUGCUCAGUAACACGUGGAUAAUCUGCCCUAUGGUGGAGGAUAACCCCGGGAAACUGGGGAUAAUACUCCAUAAGUCAGGAGUACUGGAAUGUCUCCUAACUGAAAGUUGCGGCGCCAUAGGAUGAAUCUGCGGCCGAUUAGGUAGUUGUUGGGGUAACGGCCCAACAAGCCCGUAAUCGGUACGGGUUGUGGGAGCAAGAGCCCGGAGAUGGAAUCUGAGACACGAUUCCAGGCCCUACGGGGCGCAGCAGGCGCGAAAACUUUACAAUGCAGGAAACUGUGAUAAGGGAACCCCGAGUGCCCGUACACGCGGGCUGUCCCGGUGUUUAAAACACAUCGGAAGAAAGGGCCGGGCAAGACCGGUGCCAGCCGCCGCGGUAAUACCGGCGGCUCGAGUGGUGACCACUUUUAUUGGGCUUAAAGCGUUCGUAGCAUGAUUUUUAAGUCUCUUGGGAAAUCUCACGGCUUAACUGUGAGGCGUCUAAGAGAUACUGGGAAUCUAGGGACCGGGAGAGGUAAGAGGUACUUCAGGGGUAGAAGUGAAAUUCUGUAAUCCUUGAGGGACCACCGAUGGCGAAGGCAUCUUACCAGAACGGCUUCGACAGUGAGGAACGAAAGCUGGGGGAGCGAACGGGAUUAGAUACCCCGGUAGUCCCAGCCGUAAACUAUGCGCGUUAGGUGUGCCUGUAACUACGAGUUACCGGGGUGCCGAAGUGAAAACGUGAAACGUACCGCCUGGGAAGUACGGUCGCAAGGCUGAAACUUAAAGGAAUUGGCGGGGGAGCACCACAACGGGUGGAGCCUGCGGUUUAAUUGGACUCAACGCCGGGCAGCUCGCCGGAUAGGACAGCGGAAUGAUAGCCGGGCUGAAGACCUUGCUUGACCAGCUGAGAGGAGGUGCAUGGCCGUCGUCAGUUCGUACUGUGAAGCAUCCUGUUUAGUCAGGCAACGAGCGAGACCCCC
rnacentral:rRNA from 1 species